UUCUUUUUUUUUUUUUUCAAAAAACCCUUGUGUGACCAGACCUCCAUCCCAAAUGAACCUUAAAAGGCAUCAUUUUGAUGAGGAAAGACAAAUGUGGCAAAUUGGAGAGACUGACAAGAAUUCACAGACGAUAGCGACGACUAGUUACCGAUUAUCAAGCAAAUGAAACGGAUGGAGCCAAUUCUUGAACCUUUACACAGACGAAGGAAAACUACCCGUCCUUGCCAAUUCUUGCAUGCACUGACACCAAGACAAUAAUUCAAUUGCAGCCCAACCUUUCAAAGUAUAUUUUCUCAAACAACAAUCACAUUAAUAACAAGAGCAACAACAGCAACACUAACAAGAUCAAG
rnacentral:misc_RNA from 1 species